rnacentral:rRNA from 1 species
UGGUAAAAUGUGAUGUACCUAGUAAUAUUASUGAUUAAUAUGAGGCUAACCGAGUUAGUUAAAAUUCUAAGUAUAUAUGUGAUUAUGACAAUAUGUGCUUAUUUCUUGACCAAGUCACGUGCCAGCCGUCGCGGUAAUACGUGGAAGAUCASUGUUAUUCAUCUUUAUCAGGUUUAAAGGGUACCUAGACGGUUAAUUAAGCUUUAGUAGGAACUAAUUAACUAGAGUUUAAUGUAAGAAUGAUUGAGUACGGUGAGUGUAGAGAUAAAAUUCUGUCAUACCACUUAGGAACUGGUAAAAGCGAAGGCAACUUUCUAUGUAAAAACUGACGUUAAGGGACGAAGGCUCGUAUCAAAUAACAGGAUUAGAUACCCCAGCAUUGUGGGCAGACAAUGAUGAGUGUCAUAUGCAAGAGAUAAAUAUAUAAAAAAAUAUUUUGUGUAUAAAUGAAAGUGUAAGCACUCCACCUCAAGAGUAACGUGGCAACAUGGGAACUGAAAUCAUUAGACCGUUUCUGAAACUCGUAGUGAAGUAUGUUGUUUAAUUAGAUGGUGCACAAAUAACCUUACCACAAUUUGUAUAACUAUAGUACAUAAUAAUAAUAUAGUUACAAGCGUUGCACGGCUGUCUUUAGUCUAUGUUGUGAAACUGUGGUUAGAUCCAUUAAAUAGACGUAAACCCUUACUUUAUUUAUUAUAAAGUAGUUCGCCGCUAUAUUGGUAGUGAUAUAAGGGACUAGGACAAGUCAUCAUGACCUGAACAUUGU